rnacentral:rRNA from 1 species
UACAACUGGUUCAGCAACGGAUCUCUUGGCUCUCGCAUCGA